rnacentral:rRNA from 1 species
GACGAACGCUGGCGGCGUGCUUAACACAUGCAAGUCGAGCGGAGCGGCGAACGGGUGAGUAACGCGCGAGUAACUGCCCCCCUCUCUGGGAUAACCGUUGGAAACGGCUGCUAAUACCGGAUAGUGGGGGAUGACUCGCGGCCUAUCAGCUUGUUGGUGGGGUAGUGGCCUACCAAGGCGACGACGGGUAGCCGGCCUGCGAGGGCGACCGGCCACAAUGGGCUGUGAUACGGCCCAAACUCCAACGUGAGGCAGCAGUGGAGAAGCUUGCGCAAGGGGGGAGCGCCUGAUGCAGCGACGCGAGUUAGGGAUGAAGGCCUUCGGGUUGUAAACCGCUUUCAGCCAUGACGCGGUAGUGGCAGAAGAAGCACCGGCUAACUACGUGCCAGCAGCCGCGGUAAUAC